CUACGUGCCAGCAGCCGCGGUAAGACGUAGGACGCGAGCGUUAUCCGGAUUUACUGGGCGUAAAGCGUGUGUAGGCGGCGUGACAAGUUGGGCGUGAAAGCCCCGUGCUCAACGCGGGGAGGCCGCACAAUACUGUCAGGCUAGAGGGCAUCAGAGGGGUGUGGAAUUCCCGGAGUAGCGGUAAAAUGCGCAGAUAUCGGGAGGAACACCGGUGGCGAAAGCGGCACCCUGGGGUGCACCUGACGCUGAGAGACGACAGCUAGGGGAGCGAACAGGAUUAGAGACCCUGGUAGUCCUAGCCGUAAACGAUGGAUGCUAGGUGUGGGAGUGAAGAACUUCUGUGCCGCAGCGAACGCGAUAAGCAUCCCGCCUGGGGAGUACGGCCGCAAGGUUAAAACUCAAACGAAUUGACGGGGACCCGCACAAGCAGCGGAGCGUGUGGUUUAAUUCGAUGCUACACGAAGAACCUUACCUGGGAUUGACAUAUGGGUGGUAGUGAGCCGAAAGGCAAGCGACCCUUCGGGGAGCCUAUACAGGUGCUGCAUGGCUGUCGUCAGCUCGUGCCGUGAGGUGUCGGGUUAAGUCCCGUAACGAGCGCAACCCCUGUCCUUAGUUACAAGUGUCUAAGGGGACUGCCGGCGGGAAGCCGGAGGAAGGUGGGGAUGACGUCAAGUCAGCAUGGCCCUUAUAUCCAGGGCGACACACACGCUACAAUGGUCGGUACAGAGGGCAGCGAAGCCGCGAGGUGGAGCGAAACCCAGAAAGCCGGUCGUAGUUCGGAUUGCAGGCUGCAACUCGCCUGCAUGAAGU
rnacentral:rRNA from 1 species